GCCUUACAUAAAACUUCCAAGCCUACAGCCUCCCACCCUCUCAAAAACAACAACAGUUGACAGCCUUCAAAGAGCUCUUUACCACACUGGCCUGUCCCUCUGUGGAUCUGGACUCCUCCUUCUGCAUCACCUCUGACGGGGGCAGGCAGAGCAUGCUCCAGUAGCAGGGCUUCAGGGAGAACAACUGAACAGCCAGAGAAGCAAAUGGGAGGCAGAGAAGAAUGAAGGCAAAGAAGAAAAUUAGAACAAACCCAUGGAAUGGUAGAGCUGAAGCUGAGCCCUCCCAUUCUUUUCCACCUGCUGAACAAGUUCCCCAAAAUGCCCUCAGAUGCCACCUCCUCUGUGACGCCCUCCGUGACUCCUGGAGGCCAAGUUAUCCAUUGCUCUGCUAAGAUCCCAUUGCACUUGUUAGUACCUCUGUCACCUUUAACUGUGGGUGGUGAGGUUACUCCCAGGUUUGUCUCCCUCACUAGCACUGUGAACCCCUCAAAGCCAGGUGUAUAUCCUGUCUCUCCACUAGCACUGUGAACCCCUCGAAGCCAGGUGCACAUCCUGUCUCUCCACUAGCACUGUGAACCCCUCAAAGCCAGGUGCACAUCCUGUCUCUCCACUAGCACUGUGAACCCCUCGAAGCCAGGUGCACAUCCUGUCUCUCCACGUGUUCUUUAUGUCUGUCACAGCACUGGGAAAAUUAAGAAACUCAAAACAUGCUUGCUGAGAAAAGGAGGUCCAGAAAGGCAGGGGGACUUGUCCCAGGUCAACAGAGAGAAGCUCACAACAAGGCCACACAGAGAAGACAGCCAGGCCCUCCCUAUGUCCUCUGCCUCCCCCUGUUCCAGUCCUACCACUACGUGCCCAGGGCCCCACCUCCAAGCCCGUUGGCCUGAGGCGCCUCUUCCCAGGACCCCCGUGACCCUCGGCCCUCCCUCCUCACUCCAUAUCUGGCAUCAGGCCUGGAAUGGAAUGGCCCUGGGCUACUGUGAACUGAUUGGAUGGAUGACACCAUGUCCAUCUCAGCACCACUAUCCACAAGGUGGGUCAGUAGUCUUUGUGGGGAGAUGACCUUUGAGGGUGAGUUAAAGAGAGGGCAACAGAAGAAGACACAGUAAGGGUGAGCUCCCGGGAGCCCACCUCCAGCCCCCACUGGCAUCCCCCAUCAGUUCUUCAGAGCAGGAGUACAGGCAAAGAGGAAAUGAGCAUCAGUGUCCAUGCCGAGGCCUUGUGACAUCUCCACUCAGCCUAAAGACCACCACUGCAUGUUCCAAUCACCUCGUGCUUAUAUAUAUAUAUAUAUAUAUAUAUAUAUAAAUAAAUUUUUAGUCAUUAACUUCUAUAUUACAAAUGCUAAAUCAAUAGAUUUUGUAUAUUCAUUAGUAUUAUCUAUGUAAACACUCAAGUUACCUGCAGGUAGAGAAAUAUUUAUUUUUUCCAUUCCAAAUUAUUAUGCUUUUAUUCCUUUUUCUUGCUUUAUUCUAAUGCCUGGGACCUUCAGAAUAGAAGUGAUAGGGGAGUGCAUUCUUGCCAUGUUCAUAAAGUUAUGAAAACAAUAUUCAGUCUUUCAUUAUGCACUAUAGGGUAAGCUUUAGAAUUUUGUCAUUUCCAGAAUUUUAUAUGAUUUUAAAUGAUUGUCAUUUCCAGAAUUUUAUAGAAAUCUAAUUAUGAAACAUGUGCUCUUUUUUGUCUUAUUUUUCUACAGAGCAUCAUUAUUUUGAGAUUCAUCAAUGUUGCUAUGUAUAAUUAAUUCAUUUAUUUAUAUUUCUCAGUAUGUUGCUCAUUUCCUUAUAUUGUUCACUAUGUUGCACAGAUAUAAUGGAACAUUUCACCUGUUCACCUCUUGAUAGACAUUUGGUUUACUUCCAGUUUGGGCUACUACAAAUAAAGCAGCUAUAAAAAAAAAAAAAAAAAGACCACCACUGCAUCUUCAGCUUUAACAACAGUGACCACACCACUGAGGAAGUGCUGAACAGACACCCUCACCGCUUCUCUAGCCCCACUGGGUUUAGAGGUCAAGGAUGGGACAAGUAUAGAGCCAGGCUCAGAGUGGGGCAAAAAGAGGACAAAGGAGCAGGACUGUCAGUGCAGCCAUGAGUUUGUAAUUAACAAGAGUGCUUUUCCACCUGGAUGCCAGUGUUGUGAAAAGAGGACUAAAGGUGACAAGGAACUGGUUCUACGGUGGCUCCCUUCCAAAGGAGGCUCCCUUUCUCCACUGCCAGGGGCUAAUUGCCUCAGGCUGCUCCCUGACCUUUGACCUUCCCCUUCUCAUCCUGGCCCUGGCUCAAUCUGUGGCCUCAUCCCCACCGCAGAGCUGUACCCUCUCCCCAUCUCACACCCGUGCAGGGCCUCAGCCUGCCCCCACUGCCCUCCAUGCCUGCAGCAGCUGGAGCCUUCCUGGCUGCCCCUCCCCAUAGACCACCCAGCCUUGUACUCACGCCUGCCAUG
rnacentral:lncRNA from 1 species